rnacentral:rRNA from 1 species
AUUGAACGCUGGCGGCAGGCCUAACACAUGCAAGUCGAACGAGUGGCGGACGGGUGAGUAAUGUCUGGGAAACUGCCUGCUGGAGGGGGAUAACUCCUUGAAACUGUAGCUAAUACCGCAUACCAUCACAGUUGCCCAGAUGGGAUUAGCUAGUUGGUGGGGUAAAGGCUCACCAAGGCGACGAUCCGUAGCUGGUCUGAGAGGAUGACCAGCCACACUGGAACGGAGACACGGUCCAGACGCCUACGGGAGGCAGCAGUGGGGAAUAUGGCACAAUGGGCGAAAGCCUGAUGCAGCCAUGCCGCGGGUAUGAAGAAGGGCUUCGGGUUGUAAAGUACUUUCAGCGGGGAGGCGUUACCAGCAGAAGAAGCACCGGCUAACUCCGUGCCAGCCGCCGCGGUAAUUC